rnacentral:rRNA from 1 species
CACUGGUGGCGACCGGCGCACGGGUGAGUAACACGUGUGCAACCAACCCCGUACCGGGAGAUAACCCGCGGAAACGUGGACUAACAUCCCAUGAGACUCUAGAUCCGCAUGGCUCUAGAUUUAAAAUUCCGGUGGUACGGGACGGGCACGCGCGACAUUAGGUAGUUGGCGGGGUAACGGCCCACCAAGCCGACGAUGUCUAGGGGUUCUGAGAGGAAGGUCCCCCACACUGGAACUGAGACACGGUCCAG